rnacentral:tRNA from 1 species
CAGUUAGAAUAGUUUAAUAAAAAUAUUGUUUUUGGGUAGCAAAGAUCUAAUACUUAGUUCACUGG